rnacentral:rRNA from 1 species
UACGGAGGGGGCUAGCGUUGUUCGGAAUUACUGGGCGUAAAGCGCACGUAGGCGGCUUUGUAAGUUAGAGGUGAAAGCCCAGGGCUUAACCCUGGAAUUGCCUUUAAGACUGCAUCGCUAGAAUCGUGGAGAGGUGAGUGGAAUUCCGAGUGUAGAGGUGAAAUUCGUAGAUAUUCGGAAGAACACCAGUGGCGAAGGCGACUUACUGGACACAUACUGACGCUGAGGUGCGAAAGCGUGGGGAGCAAACAGGG